rnacentral:rRNA from 1 species
CCGUUGUACACACCGCCCGUCACGCCAUGGAAGCUGGGGGACCUAAAGUCGGUGGGCUAACCGCAAGGAGGCAGCCGCCAAAGGUCAAUUCAGUGACUGGGGCG